rnacentral:rRNA from 1 species
UACGUAGGGUGCGAGCGUUGUCCGGAAUUACUGGGCGUAAAGGGCUCGUAGGCGGCCUCUUUAGUCAGACGUGAAAUCCCCCGGCUUAACCUGGGAACUGCGUCUGAUACUGGGAGGCUAGAGUUCGGGAGAGGGAUGUAGAAUUCCAGGUGUAGCGGUGAAAUGCGUAGAUAUCUGGAGGAAUACCGGUGGCGAAGGCGGCAUCCUGGACCGAAACUGACGCUGAGGCGCGAAAGCUAGGGGAGCAAACGGG